CUUUUUUUAUUAUUUCGGCUCCUCUCUCCCGCGGUCCUCUUCCCUCUCGCAUAUCACGAUUCACCUCCUCACUUCUUCCAAUUUUUUUUCUUCUCUCUCUUCUUCUUCCGUCUCCCGUGUCUCUCCCUUCUUGCUUUUCUUCUAUUUUUUUUUUCUCUUCUUCUUCCCCCUUUCUCGCACGUAGCUCUUCUCUUUCAUCUUCUCUCAAGCACAGCACCGCACAGCUUCACUCCAACGCUGAUCGCCCAACAACACGAAGGUGGUGGAUGAAGAUGGUGGAGGACAGGACCACACAAAUUGCGAACUUCGUCGGACAAAGAUUGAAGGGAAAAUAGGGGAGAUGGCUUCAGAGGAAUUAAUGUAAUUCAACGAAAUUUUCAAGAGUUACUUAUAGAAAUGCCCAGUUCGUGCGAGGACAGUCCUAUUCGGGGAUUAUAUUUAGACAAUUUUUUAAGUAUUAAAAUAAAAUAAUAAAAAUAAUAAAUCAACGGAAGUGUAGUAUUGGGCUUCCACUUAAAAUUUUUCUUUAAAUUAAGCUGUUUUGUGAAUGUGACCACAUUGGUCGGUUAAAA